rnacentral:rRNA from 1 species
GACAGAGGUGCCGAGCGUUAGGCGGAAUCACUGGGCUUAAAGCGUGUGUAGGCGGGUCGUUAAGUGUCUUGUGAAAUCCCACCGCUCAACGGUGGAACCGCUGGGCAUACUGGCGAUCUUGAGCAGUCCAGGGGCGAGCGGAACAAGCGGUGGAGCGGUGAAAUGCGUAGAUAUCAGGAAGAACACCCGUGGCGAAGGCGGCUCUCUGGGACGGUACUGACGCUGAGACGCGGAAGCGUGGGGAGCGAACAGG